rnacentral:lncRNA from 1 species
CCCGGCGAUUGGGCGCCAGGGGCGUCUGGGUCUCGCGCGGGCGUGGGAGCCGAGGGCCCGGCCGCGGCGCCCGAGAGGCGGAGAUGGGCCAGUGACCCUCGACCCGUCCGUCCGUCGGGCUAGCGAGACCAGCCCGCCGCGGAGGAGACAGAGCAGGGAGCUACAGGAGGCCGUUCCGGAAAACGCCACGGGCAAGCAGACUUGGACUGGAGCACCAGCUCUUCCUGGGUCUUGAGUCUGCCGGCCUUGGCCUUCGCCCUUGAACUACACUAGCAGCUCUCCUGGUUCUCAGGUCUUCAGACUCCAAUGGAACUAAAUCAUCAGCCCUCCUGGG